AAAUCACCUUCUACUCACCGUGCAAAAAUAAACAUUGUGCUGAGUUCACUUACCUCUGCCUCCAGUGACUAUCCUGACACACUUGAUUAUAAUGAUUUCAUAGCUUAUCAUAAAACUGUGAACUGAUUAUAUAUAUAAUGUUUCCUUUUUUUCCCUUUGUAGUCUAUCGCAAACAGGACAAGGAAAGCUGAAGAAAGCUGUUAUCUGCAUUUCCAAGAGACAAGGCUAUACUUCCACAGCCUAAUGUUGUUUUUGUACUAGUUAAAACCCAGAAUAGCCCUGAAUGAAUGGCCAGAAUGACCCUGGUCAUAUUCAAACCUCUCUCUCUCUCUCUCUCUCUCUCUUUCUCUCUCUCUCUCUCCCCGGAAUAGACUUCCAGGAGCAUUUUUUUUUUUUACCUUUGUAAGGGUAAUUUUAUAACAAUAUAAUUUAAUAUAAUAAUAAUAAUAUAAUUACCUUAUUAAAUGUUUCUGUCGUUUUUGUCAAAUAUUUAGAGGUGGAUGUUGCACACUGGUGGAGGAUGACGAGAUUCCCCCUUCUAUGUAAAGUGGUUUGAGUGCCCAGAAAAGAGCUAUAUAAAUGUAAGGAAUUAUUCAUUAUUAUUAUUAUUUAAAUAUAACUAGUUUCUUUAGUCAAUCACAAUAUUAUAGACUUCAUUUAAAAUUAUUUACACAGGCUGUUUAAUGCUGAUCAUGAACUGUAUGUGUAUUUACACAAAAACUACAUAAUGUAAAUAGCCAUGAAAUGAAAAACACAGGAACUCAUUAGUGAGUCAAGCUGCAAUAUCAUGACAAAAAUCAUUGUUUAUUAUUGCCCUUGAUGUUGUAAUAAUGAUUAUUAAUUUUGAUUAAUAGAAAGUUUUUUUUGAGGGGGAGGAUCUCAUAUUCUGGAUAAACAUAACUAUACUUUGACAUUUUGUUGUACAACGUAAACUGCACACACUCACACCCCAAACAUUCCUAUAUGUAUUAACAUAUAUGGAAAAAUAAACAACAGUUUCAAAAUUUGUGUUUUCUGCA
ensembl:lncRNA